GGAAUAUUGGUCAAUGGGCGAGAGCCUGAACCAGCCAAGUAGCGUGCAGGAGGACUGCCCUAUGGGUUGUAAACUGCUUUUAUGCGGGAAUAAAGUCCACUACGUGUAGUGGUUUGUAUGUACCGCAUGAAUAAGGACCGGCUAAUUCCGUGCCAGCAGCCGCGGUAAUACGGAAGGUCCGGGCGUUAUCCGGAUUUAUUGGGUUUAAAGGGAGCGCAGGCCGAUGGUUAAGCGUGACGUGAAAUGUAGCCGCUCAACGGCUGAACUGCGUCGCGAACUGGCUGUCUUGAGUGAGUUCGAUGUGGGCGGAAUUCGUGGUGUAGCGGUGAAAUGCUUAGAUAUCACGAAGAACUCCGAUUGCGAAGGCAGCCAACAAGGCCUUUACUGACGCUAAAGCUCGAAGGUGCGGGUAUCGAACA
rnacentral:rRNA from 1 species